GAGGGUACAGCUCAGUGGUAGAGUGUGUGCUUAGCAUGCACGAGGUCCUGGGUUCAGUCCCCAGUACCUCCA
rnacentral:tRNA from 1 species